rnacentral:rRNA from 1 species
GAUGAACGCUGGCGGCGUGCCUAAUACAUGCAAGUCGAGCGAACGGACGAGAAGCUUGCUUCUCUGAUGUUAGCGGCGGACGGGUGAGUAACACGUGUAUAACCUACCUAUAAGACUGGGAUAACUUCGGGAAACCGGCGCUAAUACCGGAUAAUAUUUUGAACCGCAUUGUUCAAAAGUGAAAGACGGUCUUGCUGUCACUUAUAGAUGGAUCCGCGCUGCAUUAGCUGGUUGGUAAGGUCACGGCUUACCAAGGCAACGAUGCAUAGCCGACCUGAGAGGGUGAUCGGCGACACUGGAAGGGAGACACGGUCCAGACUCCUACGGGAGGCAGCAGUCGGGAAUCUUACGCAAUAGGGGAAAGCCUGACGGAGCAACGCCGCGUGAGUGAUGAAGGUCUUCGGAUCGUAAAACUCUGUUAUUAGGGAAGAACAGAUGUGUAAGUAACUGUGCAGAUCUUGACGGUAACUAAUCAGAAAGCCACGGCUAACUACGUG